UGUGUGGGAGAAGCAGAAGCCCUGCUUUCCCUGCUCCUAAACAGUGCAGAAGAGAAAGGAAAUGGACCACUGCUAGGCCUGGUUAGCCAGGGGGAAAGCUGAAAUGUAUCCAGGUCUCCCCUUCAAAGCGGUUGGUAGAUCCGGCAGGCAAAUCAGGCAGCUAGCAGUCUGCUGAUACCCAGAGCAUCGUGAGAGCGGUUCAGCCAAGGAGAGAGAGAGAGAGAGACACGGAGAGAUGCUUUUGUUGGCCAUGGAGACUGUCUGGGCACAGUGAAACCCCUUUCCACAGGCAGAUUCUAUUCUCACCCCCAAUCUCACCGGAGACCACCACAGCGGCAGAACCGGCUCUCCAUUUCUUAGCAGUCCAUCUGGGGAAGUAUGACUGAGGUGGAGCCUGUGUUAGAUUUUGCAUCAUCUGGGCGCACUGGUCGAAGGAACGCGUUGCCGGACAUUCUGGGCUCGCCAUCCGGCAUCACUCCCACUGACUUGCCAAUGAAACUGGCGGAAAUGUCUCUAAACUCAGACAGGUCUCAAGAAAUGCAGUCGCCAGCCACAGAGGUGCCCCCACCCGUACCUCAAAGCCCAGAGCUGAAAGAUACCUCUUAACCCCUCCUUGUGGAGGCAUCGGAAGCCACAUAGGACAUGGAAGGACUUCCCAGUAUCAGAAGACAUUUGCCUGGAGUUGUGUGUGUGUUUGUGUGGGAUGACCCAGCAAGGCUGUCUUACAUCUCUCGGCAUGGAGUGACAGAGGAAGACUGGGGGGAUUCCACAGCAUCUGUUUUACAAAGCUGAGGGCAGAACCUUGAAGGGAACAUUUCUUCUGUGGACUUGAGGGGAGCGAAAGAAGAAGAAAAGGAGGGUCUGUUGAAAGGCCUAGCGAACCUAGGAAGCUGCCUUGUAUCAACACAGACUAUUGGUUCUAGCCAGCUCAGUAUUGUCAACACUGAUUGGCAGCAGCUGUCCAGGGUUUUCGGAUGAGCAUCUUUCUCAGCCCUAUCUGGAGAUGCUGAGGGUUAACCUGUCACCUUUGACAGACAAAGCAUGUGCUCUGACCCUGAGAUAGACCCCCUUCCCUAACUGUACACUUGCUAUCCCUUAGAGGAUCCUGAAGGUUAUUAAAGGAUCCAAGGUGUUCUUUCCUUCUUCUUCAGAGAGUGCAUUCUUCACUGUGAUGUUUGGGGGAACGACUUAUUUAUUUGGGAUUUGGGAUUUGGUGUUGUCGUUUUUUCACCAACAGAUCCAGUAUUCCUUUUCACACACAAGAUGUUAGGGGCAAGAUGUGAGAUCAGCUUAUCCUCCAUCCCGGUUGAUCCCCCACCAAGAGUGCAAUUAUGUCCUGUAUACUUAGGAAAUUUCUGUGGUUUGGGGAACAGAAUUGCCCCAACCUCUCAAAAAGGAAAGAAAUGUAAUGGCAUUACCAAAGUCAUCACCAACCUGGUCUUCAAAAAGAUGAAUUUGGAAUUCAAAACAUUAAGAUGGCAAAAAGUCUUGUUACAUCUUAGAAACUACUUGGUUCACAGAAAUAUGGGUUGGUGUCUGUGUAGAAUUUGAUGUUGAGCUCAUUCUGAAAAUAUCAGCUUUCUUUAGAGGGAAGGACUCAAAUUUCAAAUCCUCAUGGUUGUGAAGCAAUGCACACAUUAUAGAAAUGACAGAAGGGUCUCACCAUCUUCCCUUAGGUCACACACACACACACACACACACACACACCAGCUAUUAUCUUUUAGAAGGUCACAGGAUGGCAUUCUGCUAAAAUUAGGAGGUGAUUGUCAGGGUGUGUGACUUUUGUUGGGUGUUCCCUCUCCCUUUUCCUCCAUCCUUUGAGUGCUGGUGCAAAGACAGGCCUAAAAAUGUCCAGGCAACGCCUGAGAAACUAUUACAAUUGCAGGAGGGAGGGUCAGAAAGAUUUCCAGUAGUCAAACAGAUAGAUAUUUAAAACACAGAGUCCAUAUAGUCCUGAUUAUGGCACAGCUGCCAUCCCAGUAAUUGGCGGGAUAUUACCCUGCCUCCCAUUGCAUCAGAACAAUGGCUUAAACACAAGGGAGUGGAAACACAGACAAAGGAUAGAAUGGAAAUAUAGAAUGGAAAUAUAGACAAAGGCUGCCCCCCCCAAAAAAGACCUAUUCCUGUUCCCAAAAUCCACCACAUUGAGCUUUCAUGCCCACACACCACUGUUAAGAACAUUGGAUUGGUUUCCUCCAGGGCAAAAAUUCAGAGCUGGAACUGACAUGUUGUAGAAAAGUGGGUUGCCCCAGUUUCUAGAGUUAUAAAGCACUCAUGUUUAGUGAGGAUCUGUUCGUGCUAAUACUGCUCAUUAAACUUCCACCAUUCCAACAA